GAGCUUUGACUUUGCUACUCCUGUGUGCUGUCCAAAAGCAGAAUCACUUCUAUCUAAUCUGCAAACUACAAACCAGAGCUGUGUGAAAGCUUAAGCCACCUGACUGCAAACCACCUUCUGCUUGGAGGGCAAGCUGUUUCCUACAAGGGCUGGAGGGAUAUGAACUAUCCACAGAAAGCACUGCAGAGCUGGACUGCAGGCACACUUGUGACAGCCAAAGCUACAGAGAGCAAGGUUGCAACACUACCAAGGUAGAUGUCAGUGUGUCUGCAAAACCCUUGUCAGUCCCGGAGCCAAAGGAGAGCGCGCUGCUGGCGAAGGACCAGAGGAGAGCAAAGCACAUGAUGCAGAAAUACAGGUGGUGCUCACGCAUCUGCCACGAGGAGGACAGCGGUCAUUCUGGCUGCCUGCAGAGGAUCAGCUCCUCCCUUGUCCCAAGAGCAAGCUCUUGUGUACACGAACUGUUAGUGCUGACUGCCCUAGCCUUUUCUAAAUAAAGAUGGAGUAGUUGAGCU